rnacentral:lncRNA from 1 species
CUGACUCUGAACCAGUUCUGUCUAGUUACUGGAAUGGGAUUAUCUGCUGUGUGUUUGUGUGUGUGUGAGAGAGAGAGAGAGAGAGAGAGAGAGACGGUGUGUGAUUUUGCCGUGCAUGUUUAAGUAUCCAUAUGUGCAUGUGUGAAAAAGUGGGAAAACGAGUUAGAGAGAGCGCGAGUGAAAUAUUUGUGUCUGUGUGUGUGUGUUUUCCCAGCAUCCUUUGUUGUCUGGCCUGACAAAUGUGGCUUAGCCCAGAAUCGCCUGUUUAAUCUUGCCGCCAUUUUGUUGUCUGCUGGUGUCUAUGGUUCUUCUCUAUCUCUCUCAUGGCAGUCAGAGCAGUGGGCUUAACUUUCCAGAACAGUUGCCAUAGCAACACCGACAGAGGUUUAUCAGUGGCUAUGGCGACGGAUGAUGCACUGAGAUGUGACCUGCCAUGGUUUUGGGAUGCGGAGGAAGACGCGUUUGGGAUGAAGCCACACCCUGAUGAUGAAAAUGGCUGGACUUUAAUAAAUGUCACAUCACAUCAAGCAGAGCAGCGUCUGUGGAGCAGGAGGAAAGGGAGAGCUGGGGGAGCAGACUGAGUGCCCCCCCCCCCCCCCCCCCCCCCCCCCCCCAUUUUUCACAUGAAGCCACAUCAGGACGAUAAGGAGCUAAGGACAGAAGCAUGACAGUGCAAUUAAGUGCCACAUUCUGUCUGCACAAUCCCUGUGUGACACCUGUGACCUUCCAACCUCUGUGUCUAAUUUAAAGGGGCUCAUUCAUGUGUGAACCACAAAGAAACUAACAUGUUUGUUUCUGUCUGUCUGCUUUCAUUUGAAGAGGAGGGUAAUGAUGCAAAGCAAAG